GAUGAACGCUGGCGGCGUGCCUAAUACAUGCAAGUCGAGCGAAUGGAUUAAGAGCUUGCUCUUAUGAAGUUAGCGGCGGACGGGUGGGUAACACGUGGGUAACCUGCCCAUAAGACUGGGAUAACUCCGGGAAACCGGGGCUAAUACCGGAUAACAUUUUGAACCGCAUGGUUCGAAAUUGAAAGGCGGCUUCGGCCGUCACUUAUGGAUGGACCCGCGUCGCAUUAGCUAGUUGGUGAGGUAACGGCUCACCAAGGCAACGAUGCGUAGCCGACCUGGGAGGGUGAUCGGCCACACGGGGACUGGGACACGGCCCAGACUCCUACGGGAGGCAGCAGGAGGGAAUCUUCCGCAAUGGAGGAAAGUCUGACGGAGCAACGCCGCGUGAGUGAUGAAGGCUUUCGGGUCGUAAAACUCUGUUGUUAGGGAAGAACAAGUGCUAGUUGAAUAAGCUGGCACCUUGACGGUACCUAACCAGAAAGCCACGGCUAACUACGUGCCAGCCGCCGCCGUAA
rnacentral:rRNA from 1 species